CAGCCGCCGCGGGAAUACGAAGGGGGCUAGCGUUGCUCGGAAUGACUGGGCGUAAAGGGCGCGUAGGCGGUUUAUACAGUCAGAUGUGAAAUUCCUGGGCUCAACCUGGGGACUGCAUUUGAUACGUAUGGACUUGAGUGGAGAAGAGGGUCGUGGAAUUUCCAGUGUAGAGGUGAAAUUCGUAGAUAUUGGGAAGAACACCGGUGGCGAAGGCGGCGACCUGGUCCUUGACUGACGCUGAGGCGCGAAAGCGUGGGGAGCAAACAGGAUUAGAGACCCGCGUAGUCCCUGUCUCUUAUAC
rnacentral:rRNA from 1 species